GAUGAACGCUGGCGGCGUGCCUAAUACAUGCAAGUCGAGCGAACGGACGAGAAGCUUGCUUUUCUGAUGUUAGCGGCGGACGGGUGAGUAACACGUGGAUAACCUACCUAUAAGACUGGGAUAACUUCGGGAAACCGGAGCUAAUACCGGAUAAUAUUUUGAACCGCAUGGUUCAAAAGUGAAAGACGGUCUUGCUGUCACUUAUAGAUGGAUCCGCGCUGCAUUAGCUAGUUGGUAAGGUAACGGCUUACCAAGGCAACGAUGCAUAGCCGACCUGAGAGGGUGAUAGGCCACACUAGAACUGAGACACGGUCCAGACUCCUACGGGAGGCAGCAGUAGGGAAUCUUCCGCAAUGGGCGAAAGCCUGACGGAGCAACGCCGCGUGAGUGAUGAAGGUCUUCGGAUCGUAAAACUCUGUUAUUAGGGAAGAACAUAUGUGUAAGUAACCGUGCACAUCUUGACGGUACCUAAUCAGAAAGCCACGGCUAACUACGUG
rnacentral:rRNA from 1 species